rnacentral:rRNA from 1 species
UACGAGGGGGGCAAAUGUUGUUCGGAAUCACUGGGCGUAAAGGGCGCGUAGGCGGGUUCUUAAGUAAGGUGUUUAAUCCCGGGGCCCAACCCCGGACCGGCACUUUAAACUGGGAAUCUUGAAUAGUGGAGAGGUCAGUGGAAUUGGGGGUGUAGCGGUGGAAUGCGUAGAGAUCCCCAAGAACACCAGUUGCGAAGGCGGCCGACUGGACACAUAUUGACGCUGAGGCUCGAAAGCAUGGGGAGCAAACAGG